UACGGAGGGAGCAAGCGUUACUCGGAAUUACUGGGCGUAAAGCGCGUGUAGGCGGCUCGUUAAGUCCGGUGUGAAACCUUGGGGCUCAACCCCAAGCCUGCACUGGAUACUGACGAGCUCGAGUCCGGGAGGGGAGAGCGGAAUUCCUAGUGUAGCGGUGAAAUGCGCAGAUAUUAGGAAGAACACCGGUGGCGAAGGCGGCUCUCUGGAACGGUACUGACGCUGAGACGCGAAAGCGUGGGGAGCGAACAGG
rnacentral:rRNA from 1 species